rnacentral:rRNA from 1 species
GAUGAACGCUGGCGGCGUGCCUAAUACAUGCAAGUCGAGCGAACGGACGAGAAGCUUGCUUCUCUGAUGUUAGCGGCGGACGGGUGAGUAACACGUGGAUAACCUACCUAUAAGACUGGGAUAACUUCGGGAAACCGGAGCUAAUACCGGAUGAUAUUUUUAACCGCAUGGUUCAAUAGUGAAAGACGGUCUUGCUGUCACUUAUAGAUGGAUCCGCGCUGCAUUAGCUAGUUGGUAAGGUAACGGCUUACCAAGGCAACGAUGCAUAGCCGACCUGAGAGGGUGAUCGGCCACACUGGAACUGAGACACGGUCCAGACUCCUACGGGAGGCAGCAGUAGGGAAUCUUCCGCAAUGGGCGAAAGCCUGACGGAGCAACGCCGCGUGAGUGAUGAAGGUCUUCGGAUCGUAAAACUCUGUUAUUAGGGAAGAACAGAUGUGUAAGUAACUGUGCACAUCUUGACGGUACCUAAUCAGAAAGCCACGGCUAACUACGUG